rnacentral:rRNA from 1 species
GACGAACGCNGGCGGCGUGCUUAACACAUGCAAGUCGAACGGGAACCUUUAUUUCGGUAAAGGUGAGAGUGGCAAACGGGUGAGUAACACGUAGGCAACCUGCCGACAGGAUGGGGACAACAUUCCGAAAGGAAUGCUAAUACCGAAUGGAGUCCGAGGAUGGCAUCAUCCUUGGAUCAAAGAUGGCCUCUUAACAAUGCUAUCGCCUGUCGAUGGGCCUGCGUCUGAUUAGCCAGUUGGCGGGGUAACGGCCCACCAAAGCGACGAUCAGUAGCCGGUCUGAGAGGAUGAACGGCCACAUUGGGACUGAGACACGGCCCAGACUCCUACGGGAGGCAGCAGUGGGGAAUCUUCCACAAUGGGCGAAAGCCUGAUGGAGCAACGCCGCGUGAGUGAAGAAGGUCUUCGGAUCGUAAAGCUCUGUUGCACGGGACGAAAACUGGGUUNGAGAACAUNGAACCNGGGNGACG